UGGAGAUUGGCGUUGUAUAAGGUGUACUGACUAAAGUGAUUAUCUUUACUGAUAAACCAAACACCUACUUGUAUAAAAAGGACUUCUGAAUUUAAUGAAAUAAUAUGCAGAAAUCACAAUGGAAGAGGAAAAUCAAUUUACAAAUACUUUUGAAUUGUACCAAGAGAAGGUUAAAAGGGAAAUAGAAUCGCUGAAGGAUGAGUGUGUGGACUUUGCAAAUACCUGCCAACAGAAGGAAAAAGAGGUCACUGCUGUAUUUUCAAAAUUAAAGGAAACGGAAGAAAG